rnacentral:rRNA from 1 species
AGGGAGGUUGUUGGAAUGGUGGCGGAAAGGUUUGGGAUCUAGACCCGUCAGGCAAGAAGGGGAAGGGGCACGCGGCGGCGGUGAUGUAGAGAAGGAGAGGGAGAGGCUAGGUGUGUGCGGGACGAUGCCGGAGUGGAGCGACCGGACGGAAACCUACCUUGGCAGGACCGGAUCAGGAACGGUCUAGACCGGCGUGGCCAGCAGCCACGACGACCUAUACCGGCGAGGCCCGGAGUAGUGGUGGUGGGGUUCACACGUGGAGAGGUGGCGGUGAAGGGGCAGCAGAAGUGUAGGCGGAGCGGGUCAAGGUCUCAUCAGCGCACAGAGGGCUCCUCGGGCUGGGGCCGCCGGAGAGGUACCUGAGGGAGGUGGUAUCGAUUCCGUCGCGGUGACGUAGGUCUUGUGCCAAGUUGGAGGUCUUGCGAACACCGUUCGUGGUCUAGCACUCAAGUUCAUCCAGUUGGCGCUCAACGUAGAUGUAGCUGUCCAAGAGAAGAAGAAACACCCGGACGUGGAAGGUGCACCCGACACCUCCUGCCUACCGCGACACGACAAGCCCGACGUUGUACUGCCCGUCGCCAAGAUGCAGGGGAGAGUCUCGUCGAGAAAGUACCAACAGACGUAUCCGGAGCACCGUGGUAACAGAUCCCGAACAAACGACAACGGGUGAACAUGGAGUACCUUCGGAGUUCGCACCUUCGGUCGCGUGUAUAUGUGUGAGUAAGUCCGAGUCCGUACUUGGUUCCUUUUCAAGUGUCGUCUUUUGACUUCGAGAUCGUACACACGGUCGGCUACUUCGAGCGGAAUUGGGUAGCGAGUAACGAUUCCAUGGCCGUGUACGAUGAGAUAGACAACAUACAACUCGGUCUUACAUACGAUGAGAUAGACAACAUACAACUCGGUCUUACAUAAACGGACUGACUAGUAUUAGGAACAGACCAUCCUUUGAAUACCAUAGGUCAUGUUUCUACGGUUUCAAAGCUAUAUUUAAAACGAUUAAAUAUUACCACCGAAGUUUAAUAUCACUUGAUAUAUCCGCCAUCCGCGAGUGUAGGAUAACCGGAAGCCACUGUAAAACUCGAGAAUAGACGACAGAAAUUAACAAUCACACAUGGUAGGUUGUUUUAAUCGAGAUCACGAACCACACUUAAAAAAUACCAAUAAAUCAAAUAAAGUAACAUGUUACGUACCACGAUACAAAGUAUUCAUAUGUGUACGAUACGAACCGUACGUCAAAACCACCUUUUUCCUUCGUAUAGUACGAAUGUUUAACAAACUGGAACGUAAAAUAACGAAUGACAAAUGAUAUGUAAUCAUAAACAUGAACCUUCACAGUUUUUAGACAGUAAUAUUAGUCGACAUCAUUAUAACGAUAUCUAUAUGUGUGUGACUUUCAGACUUUCUAAAGAACAUUUUCAUGUACAGUCGACGGUAUAGGAAAGGAUACAGGACAAGUCAAAAAAAUUAGAAGAGAACCAAACUACAAUACUAAAAACAAUGUAUCAAGUAUCUACAACGACCAAACAUGAAACUUUUAUAAAUUUCAAUAAAAAAAAGAGAACAAGUUUUACAAGACAUAGUUCGAGCAUUCAAAUUCCUACUCUAACAACUUACGAUGUUUUAAAGUAUGGAAACUAAAGUAUUAAGAUAUUUAAGUUGGUAAGAUUUGAUUUGGUUGGUCUAGUAUAGGAAUUAAUUACCCAAACAUCCAAUUCCCACCUAUGAGUCUUCAUAAAGCCAACACAUUCAAGAGCUGUACAAUUAAGCAAGAUCUCAGAGGGAAAAGGAAAGAAAAAUGUUAACAGUACUAAAAUAUACCGGAAUCAGUUAGACAACACAGACCAGACUAAACAAUCUAUUGAUGUUACACACUACUUAAGAAGUUAACUAAUCCUUCCGAUCUACACAUUUUGAAACAAAUACCUCGAACGUGUACUCGUAUAGGUAAAGUGGUUUACUUCUAUUUUCUGAGUACAAGAACUACAAACUUGACCCCUAGGGUACCUUAAAAAAAAGACAUUGUACCAAGAGUAGAGACUUGUACGUGUGUACAACAAAAGUACAAUUCUAUAAAAAUUUUGUUUUAUGUCAUUGACUGUAGACAAAGUAAUCGAAAAAUAUGAUUACAAAAUGAAGAGACUUGAUUUAAGAACGUUUAGUGUAACUAGAUCAACGUCCAGAAGGUAUAUGUAGGUGUUAGUACACCUCCACACCAAUUCGACACUAGAAAUUUCGUAACGUUCAUACCAUUGAGAAACUUACAACAACAAAAUGUUCUACAACCGUUCAAACCAUAAAUGAUAAAACUUCUGUAGCGUCCUUCAAUAAGUUGUUUGCCAACGCUGGUUCGUUAAACAGAAGGACCUGUACCGAGGAAGACACGUAGUUUCGAGCUUGGUAAACAGAUCGAAUCAAACUUCUUUUUAUUUUAGAAUCAGAAUACAUUUAAGACAAAUAACUACAUCGAUCUACGUUGAGAUGCGUGUAUACACAAAACAGUCAAGACAAAUAACUACAUCGACCUACAAUGACUUGCGUACAUCCAGAACACAUUUAAGACAAAUAACUACAUCGACCUACGAUGACUUGCGAACUUACUUAC